rnacentral:lncRNA from 1 species
AAACUGACUGCAGAGGAUGAUGAGCAAGCUCAAAAAAGAAAUAUGGAGCUUUUGAAAAAAGCAAAACCUGGUGCAAUGGCUCCUAAGACAUUUGCAAAACUCUUUGUCGACACAUUUAAUGAGCGGAGGAAAUUUAUCGAAAAUCAAGCUACAUCUUCUACAGAGGUCUUGGAGGAAUGUCCAUAUCUUGGUCAUCCAAAUGUUGUAAGAAAAGAAGUUAGCAGAAUCAUUGGGCAGAAAAAUUGGGAAAAAGAGGCUGAAAAGAAGUUGGAGACUGCAUUGAAAGCUGUCAUACAAAUUAAGGAUAAGGAAUGUGAAAUGAGAAGUGAACAGGUUGUGGAGGCUGUGGAGUAAAUUGAGAGAAAGACAAAAAGGAACAAAGGAACAACAACAAGUGUUCUAAAAUUCAAAGAUCCUGCAUCCACCAUGAGACCAGAAACCUUGUUCAAAGACAAGAAUGUCGAGUUUCGCUUGGUUGUGAUUGGGUCUCCUGAGGAGGUCAACCAAGUUUUUGUGGCAGGUGAAGACCAGUCAUUUAUUGAGAGUGAAGGUAUACUCCAAGGUUUGAUCGACCUGCUUUGUUGUUACUAUGCAUAUCACGUCUCCUACCCUGAAAGUAUGGAAGGAUGCUUGCUUUUCCUACAAGACAUUCUUUUGCCAACAAAUGAUGGCAACUACAGAGGAACAAAAUUUUCCUCAUUUAUGGCAAAGGUGCACCAAGGAAUUAAGGACAAUUCUGAUUAGAACAAUUUAUACAUGCCUGGACAUUCAUGCUUAUAUUAUAUGCAUGCCAUAUAUUUAAGGCAAAUUAUUAUUAAGGCAAAUUUUCCAUAUGACUUUUAAAUAUUUGUUGUGAAUAUAUGUAAGUGUUUUCUUGUAUGAUAAUGUUUUCUAUUUUUAAUACAUAUUUCACUGUUUAUGGACAAACUGUUCUGACUAUUCAUUCUAUUUAGAUAAUUGCCCUAGGCAAUUUGAUCUUGUGUGUUGGGUAGCACACCUUAGUGUGUUCCAAAACACACCUUGCACCACCUAGCAGUAUGUGUCUUGGAACACACCAAAGUUGUGUAGGAAAACACACCAAAGUUGUGUAG